rnacentral:rRNA from 1 species
UACGUAGGGUGCAAGCGUUGUCCGGAAUUAUUGGGUGUAAAGAGCUCGUAGGCGGUCUGUCGCGUCUGCUGUGAAAACUCGGGGCUUAACCCCGGGCCUGCAGUGGGUACGGGCAGACUAGAGUGCGGUAGGGGAGACUGGAAUUCCUGGUGUAGCGGUGAAAUGCGCAGAUAUCAGGAGGAACACCGGUGGCGAAGGCGGGUCUCUGGGCCGUAACUGACGCUGAGGAGCGAAAGCAUGGGGAGCGAACAGG